UAACAAGUGUUUUAUGGCACUUUUUAAAUCCAUAUCCACCUUGUGUGCAAUGUCAGUCGAUCUUCUUCAUGGAGAUCGACCAAACAUCAACCUUUAUUUUUUAACUCUUUGUCUGAAAAAUAUUAUGAAUAAACAAUUCAAAAUA
rnacentral:misc_RNA from 1 species